CCUACGGGUGGCAGCAGUGGGGGAUAUUGCACAAUGGGGGGAACCCUGAUGCAGCGACGCCGCGUGGGUGAAGAAGCGCCUCGGCGCGUAAAGCCCUGUCAGCAGGGAAGAAAAUGACGGUACCUGAAGAAGAAGCCCCGGCUAACUAGGGGCCAGCAGCCGCGGUAAUAUGUACGGGGCAAGCGUUAUCCGGAUUUACUGGGUGUAAAGGGGGCGCAGGCGGGGACGCAAGCCAGGAGUGAAAGCCCGGGGCCCAACCCCGGGACUGCACUUGGAACUGGGUGGCUUGAGUGCAGGGGGGGCAGGCGGAAUUCCUGGUGUAGCGGUGAAAUGCGUAGAUAUCAGGAGGAACACCGGUGGCGAAGGCGGCCUACUGGACUGCAACUGACGUUGAGGCCCGAAAGCGUGGGGAGCAAACAGGAUUAGAUACCCCAGUAGUC
rnacentral:rRNA from 1 species